rnacentral:tRNA from 1 species
CGGAACGUAGCGCAGCCUGGUUUAGCGCGUUUGACUGGGGGUCAAAAGGUCGAGAGUCCGAAUCUCUCCGUUCCGACCA